AUCGAACGCUGGCGGCAUGCUUAACACAUGCAAGUCGAGCGAGUGGCGGACGGGUGAGUAACGUAUGGGGGCUGCCCGUUCGCGUGGGAUUACUAUUGGAAACGGUGGCUAAUACCGCGAACUGUCGGAUAACCCAUAUGGUAUCAGCUAGUAGGUAAGGUAAUGGCUUACCUAGGCGUCGACCCCUAGCUGGUCUGAGAGGAUGUUCAGCCACACUGGGACGGAGACACGGCCCAGACGCCUACGGAGGCAGCAGUGGGGAAUAUUGCACAAUGGGCGCAAGCAUGAUGCAGCCAGGCCGCGUGUAUGAAGAAGGCCCUAGGGUUGUAAAGUACUUUCAGUCGGGAGGCGUUACCGGCAGAAGAAGCACCGGCUAACUCCGUGCCAGCAGCCGCGGUAAUAC
rnacentral:rRNA from 1 species